GCCAAGAUGGAAAGUCAGUUUUUGUAUGAAGUGGUGAAUAACUUGUUAGACUGUGACUACGCUUUUGACUACUGGGGAAAAGGCACAAUGGUCACCGUCACGUCAGCCACUUCAACUGCACCCACUGUGUUUCCUCUGGUACCAUGUGGCGCUGAAAGUGGAGAUAUGGUCACUCUUGGCUGCCUUGCCACCGGCUUUAACCCUUCUGCGGUGACUUUCUCGUGGACAAAAGGCGGCACUGCCUUGACAGACUUCAUCCAGUACCCUGCAGUACAGAAAGGCAAUGCUUAUACUGGAGUCAGUCAAGUCAGAGUGAGGAGACAGGACUGGAAUGCACAACAGACUCUUCAAUGUGCUGUGAAUCACACUGCUGGGACUGUACAGGCUCCUUUCACAAAACCACAGGUGGAUAAAACUGACAGAGGCAAAACAGUAGCAGAUGUUGUCCCUACUGCAGAUCCGACAAACAAGCCAACAAUGGCAGUCUACAUCCUCCCACAGCAGCACACUGACCAACUUAACCCUAAAGAUCAAAUCACUCUGGUGUGUCUCGUCACCAGUACUGUGAAUGAGAUGUAUAAAAUCGAAUGGUCAGAAAUGUCUGGAGGGACAGUUGGACCUUAUGCUACAGUCACUGAUCUCCCUGCACAGCAGAGCAAAAAUGACCGAAAAUGGCGAAGUAUGAGUCUUUACACCACCAGUAAGGAAAACUGGGACAAAAACGCUCCAACCAAAAUGUUCAUCUGCCAUGUCCAGUCUAAAAAUAUUUCAAAACAUGUGUCCAACGCCCAUGAUGAUUUUUGUGAUCUGACUUGGGACGAUGUCACCGCUGAAGAGGAUUUUAGCAGCCUGUGGUCCACAGCUUCCUCCUUCAUAUUCCUCUUCAUACUCUCUCUCUUCUAUAGCAUAAUUAUCAGCCUUCUUAAGAUAAAGAGAUCAUAACAAAUGGGAUGGAAUUGGUGCGCUUCAUUUCUACUCUAUUUUUAAAAUCUAUUUUUCAUUUUCUUUUUAUGCACAUAAUCAUUUAUUUGAUACAU